CGCAGCUUGUGUAAAUAAUCUAUUUUUUUAAACGCUUUUUUUCCCCUCAUAAAUUUCAAUAUAAAUACUGAAUCUUCAAAAGUGAAAGCUAUAGGUUCAUCCAAUAACAGCAAUUUCAAGAUGUCUUCUUUACUUUACUUGCUUGUCCUCGUCAUUUUGGCCCUUUUUGCUACUCUAGCAUUGGCCGAGCCAGGUUUGGGAGUAUUGGGAGGUUUAAAAGAAGGAGCCGAUGAGAUUCUCAGCACUGCAGGAGCUCACAAUCAGUGAAAGCUCACGGAAAAGCCCCAACACUGGCGGAAUUUUCUUGGAAUAAAAAAAAAAUAUUAAAAAAUUUUAAAAAAAAACGUGAUUAUGUGAUUAUAUUAUGCAAG